GAUGGAGCACGCCGCGUGUGUGAUGAAGGCUUUCGGGUCGUAAAGCACUGUUGUAUGGGAAGAACAGCUAGAAUAGGAAAUGAUUUUAGUUUGACGGUACCAUACCAGAAAGGGACGGCUAAAUACGUGCCAGCAGCCGCGGUAAUACGUAUGUCCCGAGCGUUAUCCGGAUUUAUUGGGCGUAAAGCGAGCGCAGACGGUUUAUUAAGUCUGAUGUGAAAGCCCGGAGCUCAACUCCGGAAUGGCAUUGGAAACUGGUUAACUUGAGUGCAGUAGAGGUAAGUGGAACUCCAUGUGUAGCGGUGGAAUGCGUAGAUAUAUGGAAGAACACCAGUGGCGAAGGCGGCUUACUGGACUGCAACUGACGUUGAGGCUCGAAAGUGUGGGUAGCAAACAGGAUUAGAUACCCUGGUAGUCCACACCGUAAACGAUGAACACUAGGUGUUAGGAGGUUUCCGCCUCUUAGUGCCGAAGCUAACGCAUUAAGUGUUCCGCCUGGGGAGUACGACCGCAAGGUUGAAACUCAAAGGAAUUGACGGGGACCCGCACAAGCGGUGGAGCAUGUGGUUUAAUUCGAAGCAACGCGAAGAACCUUACCAGGUCUUGACAUCCUUUGAAGCUUUUAGAGAUAGAAGUGUUCUCUUCGGAGACAAAGUGACAGGUGGUGCAUGGUCGUCGUCAGCUCGUGUCGUGAGAUGUUGGGUUAAGUCCCGCAACGAGCGCAACCCUUAUUGUUAGUUGCCAGCAUUCAGAUGGGCACUCUAGCGAGACUGCCGGUGACAAACCGGAGGAAGGCGGGGACGACGUCAGAUCAUCAUGCCCCUUAUGACCUGGGCUACACACGUGCUACAAUGGCGUAUACAACGAGUUGCCAACCCGCGAGGGUGAGCUAAUCUCUUAAAGUACGUCUCAGUUCGGAUUGUAGUCUGCAACUCGACUACAUG
rnacentral:rRNA from 1 species